rnacentral:rRNA from 1 species
UACCCGCUGAAUUUAAGCAUA